UUCCUCCGCCGCAGCUCCCCUGCUGCUUCCCUCCCCCCUCCUUGCCGGCGGCUCCUCCGCCGCAGCUGCCCUGCCGCUUCCCUCCCCCCUCCUCUCUGUCGGCUCCUCCCACCGCCGCCGCACUCAUCGCCUAGGGCUGCUGGUAUAUUCCCCACCACCACGCCGCCGCACCCACUUCCCCUACCCACGCCGAUUGAGACGGAGGGAGGGAGGACAUGGUCGUUGGGGGCCGCCACACGCCUGGAUCUGGGUGCCAUCGUGCACAUCCGGCCGGAUCUGGCCGCCGCCGCGCUCGUCCGUGCCGGAUCUGGCCGCCACAAUCGAGGAUCGAUGGAGGAGCACAGGUCGCGGCUUGGUUGUGGAGGAGGGAAAGGGAGCACGGGGCAGCACCAUUGCGGCUGGAGCAGGGCUUCGGUUCGAGGGUGGCGGACAUGGCUGCGUCAUGUACGUGGGGGAGAAGGAUGACCGUGCACCCCGGCGUUCUCUGCGUGGUGGUAGUCAUGCGCCGUGCCACGUCGAGACUGGGUGUAGCACGGGGCGGCCGUUGCGGCUGGGAGGUGAUCUGCUCAUCGUCCAUCUGGAGAGGAAGCAGAGUGACUCAUGACGUUACAUAGCCGCCUACGAGCCAAUGAUGAGCAAACGAGGCAGCGAAUCGUGCAGCUGCAGGCUUGCAGCAGGUUGGCGGGCGAAUGGUCAUAAAGAGAAGAUAACAGGCAUGUCGAGUGCUGUGAGUAUUCCAUUCGUUUAGACAACUACGUUUCCAAGAUCAUCAAGAGAUCAUAGUGUGACAGAUGGGAGAACACACACACACCUCAAUGGAUGACAUAUUAUAAUUACGGAGACUAGUUGUAAGGAUAAUGGAGUGCAAUUUUCUGAUUCAGUGAUCUGCAGGUUUGAAGAACUAAUAUUGUGUAGAAAAUGGCAAUCGAAUUAUUUAGAUUUAAUAAAUUAGAUUUAAGGAUAAAUUAGUUGGUGCAUUUCAUUAUCAAGGACUAAUAGUAUCAAUAUACUAGGAGCAAUAUGUAGCAAACAAUUCAAAAUUUAAGGAAUGAUCCAUCUUACCCCUCAAGAAGAAGGAAUAAUCCAUUUUAAUAUGUUCCUUUAUAUAUACGGAGAACUUCUUAGUAGUUCGUAUGUCAAGAUGUUUGGAUACUGAAUAAUGGUGCUCUUUCUAAUAAUCAGGCAGACUGUACGCAUUGCCAGUUUA